rnacentral:rRNA from 1 species
CACGAACCGUCCAAACGUUAUUCGGAAUUAUUGGGCUUGAAGGGUGCGUAGGCGGUGCUCUAAGUCGGGGGUGAAAUCCCUCGGCUCAACCGAGGAACUGCGCCCGAUACUGGAGUGCUAGAGGGAGACAGGGGUGAGCGGAACUGAUGGUGGAGCGGUGAAAUGCGUUGAUAUCAUCAGGAACACCGGUGGCGAAAGCGGCUCACUGGGUCUCUUCUGACGCUGAGGCACGAAAGCCAGGGUAGCGAACGGG